rnacentral:lncRNA from 1 species
GGGAAGGGACCUCGUUUUCCCUGAGCUACCAUUGAUUUACUGUGAUGAGAGUUUUAAUCAAGCCCUUGUACCUUUAAACCAUAAGUUAGUAGAGGGGAGCGGGGACAGUCUUUCGGAGGACUUCCUGACAUGCUGAGCUUUCAAGCUUAUUAAUCAAAAAUGUGGGAUGGGAGGAGGGCUUUUUGGGGCGGGGGGUGAGGGGGGUGAGUUGCAGGCACCACUAAACUGCCAAAUAAUGUCAGAUGGCAGAGAACAAUGUGAAUUCCCAUAGAGCUCUAUAAAUAACAGCUAUAAACGUGCCUCAUAAAUUACUCAAGGGGUUAUUUUCUCCCACCCGCAUUCCCUCCCUCACGUUCAAAUUCAAUUUUAUUCAUCCGGUUCCUCACCCUGUGCUGCUGCGUGGGAAGCUUGGACCGAAAUCUCCAAGUGGCCAGAGCAGGGCCACUGCUGGGUCUCUGCAGUUAAGAUUUCCACUGCCACGGGCACAACCAGCGCUGCGGAGGCUUCCCACCUAACGCCAGACCCCGUCCCCAUCGGAUGCAUGUCCCAAAGGAUGCCACACACCCUACAGCCUCUCAUUUUGGCCGCUGCUGAGGGUUUGUACCUGAAGUGAAACCCAAACCGUCAGGGACUUGAGGCACACUGUGUCAGGACAGGGGUUGCUCUCUCCCAAACAACGUUUUGCUGUUGUUAAGAUCUUGGAGGGAGGGAAUAUUUCUGGCUUAGGCUGUGCUUUUGAGCAGGAAAGACAGAAAACGCAAGCCACACACAAACAGAAACAAUGGAGGGGAAAGGUUGGAAGCAGCAUCCCAAAAUAACUCGGUGGUUCAGCCAGAAACACAGCGAGCCUGACUGUGCUAAGAAGUGUUGCUCCAAGAGGCACAAGGCAGCCGAAUGGGAGGAGCGUGGUAAGGAUGAUUUCCCUGGUCUCCCACAUGAGCGCCCAGAACAUUACCUGCUGCAGUGGACAGUAACAACUCAUCCAGGCAACAUUAUCCCUUCCAGAGGACUGGAUCCAAACGGGAGGUGAGCUGGUAUUAGUGCCAGUGUAAGAGCUUUUAGCAACAGGACAGGCUGGGGAUACAAAAUCAGGACGGGAGCCACGUGCCAUGGCAGAGGUGCUGCUGGUAGCUCUUGCAGGAGAUGCCUUUUGGGGCAUCCCACACGUCUGGCUUUGGACCAUCUCUUUGUUGUGCAUUUUUUUGCAGGCACUGAUUUUAAAGUGCCCGUAGGACCACUUCAAUUUCCAUUUGCAGGAGUGGAAAGAAUAUAUUUUGGCAUUCACUUUAUUGUACGAACAACUUAGCCAGCAUCUUUUUACCUCAAUGGAAAGAGUAAGGAAAACAGCCCAUAUGGUGCUACCUAGAGCUUUAAUACAACCUUAGUGCUGAUUUGUGAUUCUGCUUGCUCAAUCAUCAUUUAAAACCUUUUCUCCUACAAGACUGGGCAAGGGAGAAAGAUUUCUGUCCUAUGACAAGCUGCAAAAAUUAGUGCAAGGAUGCUUCUUUCCCUGCUGGGAAUGCCUACAUUGAAGGUACUUGAAAUAAGUGCCACACUUGUGCCAGUUUCUGUUUUGGGGGACAGUGAAGUCCUUUACUUCAUGCCUCAGUUUACCCGUUAUAAAAGAGAAAUAUGAUUCUGACCACCUUUGUAAGGAGCUUGGAGUUCCCCUGAUGAAAGCAUCUCACCAGAACUAUUUUAUUAUGGUAAAGAAGCUUAGGUUCGUUCUUAUGCCAGAGCCCUAAGUCAGAUUCUCUGGAGCAAAAACCCCUUGGGCUCAGAAUUUUUCAUAUCCAUUCUCCUUUCCUCCCUGUCCAAUGUUAAUUUCAACAACCAAGAGCAUGUCCUGUGUGACCGAGCUGCUCUGCCUUUCCCCAGCAUCAAGAAAUCCCUGAGCAGAGCAGUUCCCUUAACCCUGGCAAGGGCUAGCAAACCCUCAGAGCAUCCCUGACCAAAUCCCG